rnacentral:rRNA from 1 species
UCAUAUGCUUGUCUCUAAGAUUAAGCCAUGCAGGUCUAAGUACAUGCCGAAAUAGGGUGAGACCGCGAAUGGCUCAUUAUAUCAGUUGUGGUUCCUUAGAUCUUCGGUUACAAUUGGAUAACCCUGUCAAAUUUAGAGCUAAUACAUGCAUCCUAGCACCGACCUUCGGGAAGGUGUGUUUUUAUUAGCCCAAAACCAAUCGUUUCCUUCGGGUGACGAACUAUUGGUGACUCAGAGUAACUUGGUUCUGAUCGCAUGGCUUCGUGCCGGCGACGCAUCUUUCAAAUGUCUGCCUUAUCAACUUGUUGGUUGGUUAAAUGCCAACCAAGGUGGUAACGGGUAACGGAGAAUCAGGGUUCGAUACCGGAGAGGGAGCCUGAGAAACGGCUACCACAUCCAAGGAAGGCAGCAGGCACGCAAAUUACCCACUCCCAGCUCGGGGAGGUAGUGACGAAAAAUAACAAUACCGGACUCUUCCGAGGCUCGGUAAUUGGAAUGGGUACACUUCAAAUCCUUUAACGAGUAUCUAUUGGAGGGCAAGUCUGGUGCCAGCAGCCGCGGUAAUUCCAGCUCCAAUAGCGUAUAUUAAAGUUGCUGCGGUUAAAAAGCUCGUAGUUGGAUCUCAGUCUCGAUCGGACGGUCUGCUAUUUGGCGGUACUGGACGAAUCGGACAUUCCGCCGCCUUUUGCAGUAUGCUCUUAAUUGAGUGUACUGUGACAGUGGCAAAUUUACUUUGAAAAAAUUAGAGUGCUCAAAGCAGGCAAACGCCUGAAUCUUCGUGCAUGGAAUGAUGGAAUAGGGCCUCGGUUCUAUUUUGUUGGUUUCCGGAACUCGAGGUAAUGAUUAAGAGGGACGGACGGGGGCAUUCGUAUUGCGACGUUAGAGGUGAAAUUCUUAGAUCGUCGCAAGACGAACUAAUGCGAAAGCAUUUGCCAAGAAUGUUUUCAUUAAUCAAGAACGAAAGUCAGAGGUGCGAAGGCGAUCAGAUACCGCCGUAGUUCUGACCGUAAACGUUGCCAACUGGCAAUUGGGCGCACUUCUGUCGAAGUUGCCGCCAGCAGUAUUGCCCGGGAAACCAAAGUCAUUGGGUUCCGGGGGGAGUAUGGUUGCAAAGCUGAAACUUAAAGGAAUUGACGGAAGGGCACCACCAGGAGUGGAGCCUGCGGCUUAAUUUGACUCAACACGGGAAACCUCACCCGGCCCGAACACUGUUAUGACAGACAGGUUGAGAGCUCUUUCUCGAUUCAGUGGUUGGUGGUGCAUGGCCGUUCUUAGUUCGUGGAGCGAUCUGUCUGGUUAAUUCCGAUAACGAACGAGAUUCUUGCUUGCUAAAUAGACGGCGCCGACUUAGUGCGGCGGCCGUUCGUUCUUAGAGGGACAAGCGGCUUUUAGCCGCGUGAAGCUGAGAGCAAUAACAGGUCAGUGAUGCCCUCAGAUGUUCGGGGCCGCACGCGCGCUACACUGUUUGCAUCAGCGUGUUUCUCCCGCGCCGGCCGGCGCGGGCAACCCGUUGAACCGCAAACGUGCUAGGGAUCGGAGAUUGCAAUUGUUCUCCGUGAACGAGGAAUUCCUUGUACUGGCGAGUCAUCAGCUCGCGGGGAAUCUGUCCCUGCCCUUUGUACACACCGCCCGUCGCUACUACCGAUUGAGUGGUUUAGUGAGGCUCACGGACUGCGAGCGGCACCCGUCGGCUUCGGCCGUCAAGGCGUCGCGAGCGGGAAGUGAGACGAACUUGAUCACUUCUAGGAAGUAAAAGUCGUAACAAGGUUUUC